AGGGUUUGAUCCUGGCUCAGGACGAACGCUGGCGGCGUGCUUAACACAUGCAAGUCGAGCGAUGAGAUCCCUUCGGGGAAGGAUUAGCGGCGAACGGGUGAGGAACACGUGAAGAAUCUGCCUUCAACUCUGGGAUAACACCGGGAAACCGGUGCUAAUACCGGAUAUGAGCCUUGAUCGCAUGAUCGGGGCUGGAAAGUUUUUCGGUUGAAGAUGACUUCGCGGCCUAUCAGCUAGUUGGUGAGGUAAUGGCUCACCAAGGCGACGACGGGUAGCCGGCCUGAGAGGGCGACCGGCCACACUGGGACUGAGACACGGCACAGACUCCUACGGGAGGCAGCAGUGGGGAAUAUUGGGCAAUGGACGAAAGUCUGACCCAGCGACGCCGCGUGCGGGAUGAAGGCCUUCGGGUUGUAAACCGCUUUCAGCAGGGAAGAAGCGAAAGUGACGGUACCUGCAGAAGAAGCACCGGCUAACUAUGUGCCAGCCGCCGCGGUAAUUCA
rnacentral:rRNA from 1 species